CCUACGGGAGGCAGCAGUAGGGAAUCUUCGGCAAUGGACGAAAGUCUGACCGAGCAACGCCGCGUGAGUGAAGAAGGUUUUCGGAUCGUAAAACUCUGUUGUUAGAGAAGAACGUUGUGUAGAGUGGAAAAUUACACAAGUGACGGUAUCUAACCAGAAAGGGACGGCUAACUACGUGCCAGCAGCCGCGGUAAUACGUAGGUCCCGAGCGUUGUCCGGAUUUAUUGGGCGUAAAGCGAGCGCAGGUGGUUUAAUAAGUCUGAUGUAAAAGGCAGUGGCUCAACCAUUGUGUGCAUUGGAAACUGUUAGACUUGAGUGCAGUAGAGGAGAGUGGAAUUCCAUGUGUAGCGGUGAAAUGCGUAGAUAUAUGGAGGAACACCGGUGGCGAAAGCGGCUCUCUGGACUGUAACUGACACUGAGGCUCGAAAGCGUGGGUAGCAAACAGGAUUAGAUACCCUGGUAGUCCACGCCGUAAACGAUGAGUGCUAGUUGUUUGGGGCUAUCCAGCCCUAAGUGACGCAGCAAACGCAUUAAGCACUCCGCCUGGGGAGUACGACCGCAAGGUUGAAACUCAAAGGAAUUGACGG
rnacentral:rRNA from 1 species